rnacentral:lncRNA from 1 species
ACGAGAAGAAGUAGACAGAGAUAAAUGGAAGGAACUGCUCCCCAAGAUUCUUAGUCACUUCCUUUUCUUUAUAGGGGCAAGCUAGUCUGCUUUCCACCGGAGCAUUUCCCUCCAAAGAUGCAGGUUUCUCUACUUAUCUCCUCCCUGGAUGGCUGUAUAAGCCAGAUGAUGGUUACCUGAACACUCCAGAAAAAGAAUUCACAGAGGGUUUCACAGGGCACAGCCUCGCAGUCUGGAGGGAGAAGAGGGCAAAGCGGUCUUCACGGACGCCACCUACUGCCUGGCUGGGCAGAGAGCCAGUGGAUCAGAGAGGCCGGCUCUGUUCUUGGCAGGAAAUGAGGAGCUGGCAUGGAAAUGCCACCCAGGCUGGGAACAAGAUCUAUGGAGUGGCAGCCUGAGUGGGUGAGGUGAGGGGGAGCACAGGACAACCCAAGGCUCUCUUGUCAGCAGCGCCAGUCCACAGGGAUCUUCAGUGGUCAGCGUUCGAACAUGCUGGACUGGGCCGGGCCAUGGAAACCCACUCUUUGUCAGUGAAUCCCAAGCUUCAGUGCACCUCUGUAUCACCUUGGCAGGAGGGUAGUAUUUAAAAG